UUUCACUGUGAGGUCUACUACACCUGUUGUAUUCAGCAUUUCACUGUAAGGUCUACUACACCUGUUGUAUUCAGCAUUUCACUGUGAGGUCUACUACACCUGUUGUAUUCAGCAUUUCACUGUGAGGUCUACAACACCUGUUGUAUUCAGCAUUUCACUGUGAGGUCUACUACACCUGUUGUAUUCAGCAUUUCACUGUGAGGUCUACUACACCUGUUGUAUUCAGCAUUUCACUGUGAGGUCUACUACACCUGUUGUAUUCAGCAUUUCACUGUGAGGUCUACUACACCUGUUGUAUUCAGCAUUUCACUGUGAGGUCUACUACACCUGUUGUAUUCAGCAUUUCACUGUAAGGUCUACUACACCUGUUAUAUUCAGCAUUUCACUGUGAGGUCUACUACACCUGUUAUAUUCAGCAUUUCACUGUAAGGUCUACUACACCUGUUGUAUUCAGCAUUUCACUGUAAGGUCUACUACACCUGUUGUAUUCAGCAUUUCACUGUAAGGUCUACUACACCUGUUGUAUUCAGCAUUUCACUGUAAGGUCUACUACACCUGUUGUA